ACGCUGGCGGCAGGCCUAACACAUGCAAGUCGAGCGGUAGAGAGAAGCUUGCUUCUCUUGAGAGCGGCGGACGGGUGAGUAAUGCCUAGGAAUCUGCCUGGUAGUGGGGGAUAACGUUCGGAAACGGACGCUAAUACCGCAUACGUCCUACGGGAGAAAGCAGGGGACCUUCGGGCCUUGCGCUAUCAGAUGAGCCUAGGUCGGAUUAGCUAGUUGGUGAGGUAAUGGCUCACCAAGGCGACGAUCCGUAACUGGUCUGAGAGGAUGAUCAGUCACACUGGAACUGAGACACGGUCCAGACUCCUACGGGAGGCAGCAGUGGGGAAUAUUGGACAAUGGGCGAAAGCCUGAUCCAGCCAUGCCGCGUGUGUGAAGAAGGUCUUCGGAUUGUAAAGCACUUUAAGUUGGGAGGAAGGGCAGUUACCUAAUACGUGAUUGUUUUGACGUUACCGACAGAAUAAGCACCGGCUAUCUCUGUGCCAGCAGCCGCGGUAAUACAGAGGGUGCAAGCGUUAAUCGGAAUUACUGGGCGUAAAGCGCGCGUAGGUGGUUUGUUAAGUUGGAUGUGAAAUCCCCGGGCUCAACCUGGGAACUGCAUUCAAAACUGACUGACUAGAGUAUGGUAGAGGGUGGUGGAAUUUCCUGUGUAGCGGUGAAAUGCGUAGAUAUAGGAAGGAACACCAGUGGCGAAGGCGACCACCUGGACUGAUACUGACACUGAGGUGCGAAAGCGUGGGGAGCAAAC
rnacentral:rRNA from 1 species